rnacentral:rRNA from 1 species
CAUGUAGGCGGCAUGACAAGUCUGGUGUGAAAUAUCUCGGCUCAACCGAGAAAACGCACUGGAAACUGUCAAGCUUGAGUAUCAGAGGGGAAGAUAGAAUUCCUGGUGUAGGGGUGAAAUCUGUAGAUAUCAGGAAGAAUACCGGUGGCGAAGGCGAGCUUCUGGCCAGAUACUGACGCUGAGAUGCGAAAGCGUGGGGAGCGAACAGGAUUAGAUACCCUGGUAGUCC